ACCCCUCCUGCUGCAGCCCCAGGGCCCCUCGCUGCUGCCACCAUGGACGCAAUCAAGAAGAAGAUGCAGAUGCUGAAGCUCGACAAGGAGAACGCCUUGGAUUGAGCUGAGCAGGCGGAGGCCGACAAGAAGGCGGCGGAAGACAGGAGCAAGCAGCUGGAAUAUGAGCUGGUGUCGCUGCAAAAGAAACUCAAGGGCACCGAAGAUGACUGGACAAAUACUCUGAGGCUCUCAAAGAUGCCCAGGAGAAGCUGGAGCUGGCAGAGAAAAAGGCCACCGAUGCUGAAGCUGACGUAGCUUCUCUGAACAGACACAUCCAGCUGGUUGAGGAAGAGUUGGAUCAUGCCCAGGAGCGUCUGGCAAUCGCUUUGCAGAAGCUGGAGGAAGCUGAGAAGGCAGCAGGUGAGAGUGAGAGAGGCAUGAAAGUCAUUGAAAGUCGAGCCCAAAAGGAUGAAGAGAAAAUGGAAAUUCAGGAGAUCCAACUGAAAGAGGCCAAGCACAAUGCUGAGGAUGCCGACCGCAAAUAUGAAGAGGUGGCCCGUAUGCUCGUCAUCAUUGAGAACGACCUGGAACGUGCAGAAGAGCCGGCUGGGCUCUCAGAAGGCCAGGUCCGACGACUGGAAGAACAAUUAAGAAUAAUGGAUCAGACCUUGAAAGCAUUAAUGGCUGCAGAGGAUAAGUACUCGCAGAAGGAAGACAAAUAUGAGGAAGAGAUCAAGGUCCUUUCCGACAAGCUGAAGGAGGCUGAGACUCGGGCUGAGUUUGCGGAGAAGUCAGUAACUAAAUUGGCGAAAAGCAUUCAUGACUUAGAAGAGAAAGUGGCUCAUGCCAAAGAAGAAAACCUUAGUAUGCAUCAGAUGCUGGAUCAGACUUUACUAGAGUUAAACACCAUGUGAAACCUCCUUAGCCGCGACCACAUUCUUUCAUUUUUUUUGUUUUGUUUUUAAACAACUGCUUACCCCUUAAAUGCAUUUUUAUUUACUUUUACCACUGUCACAGAAACAUCCACAAAAUACCAGCUAGGUCAGGGGGUGGGGAAAACACACAAAAAGGCAAACCCAUGUCAGGGUGAUAAUGGUUUAAAUGUGCCAUUUCCCAGGUUGAUGUUGCCACACUUUGUAGAGUUUAGCAACACAGUAUGCUUAUUCAGCGUAGGAACCCUCACGAAAGCAGAAAAAGUUCCAUUCAAAGUGCCAAUGAUAGAGUCAACAGGAAGAUUAAUGUUGGAAACACAAGGAGGUGUGGAUUGGUGCUACUUUAAACGAAAGGUCCCCCUGUGGUCUUUUGUUCAAUAUUGUACAAUGUAGAACUCUGUCCAAUGCUAAUUUAUUUUGUCUUGAGUUUUACUAUGAGAUGAGACUGUGGAUCCUGCAUGCCUGAAUUCACUGAAGCCUAGGGUCUGUAAGCCACGCUGCUCUUCUGAGACUUGCAUUCCUUUCUGAUUGGCACACGUGCAGCUCAUGACAGUCCACAGGAUAAUAAUCAAUGUGGAUUUCCACUCUUCAGUUCUUCAUGUUAAAGAGAAAGAUUUAGACACUACAUAAAAUUGGUAAAGGACAUUUUCUGGAGAGUUAUAACUAUAUGUAAACAUUGUAUAAUGAUAUGGAAUAAAAUGCACAUUGUAGGACCUUUUCUAAAAAAA